rnacentral:lncRNA from 1 species
UUUCCUUGUCAAUAUUUUCAACACGGUGCUUGACGCUCUUGAACUGGCUUCCUUCGCCAAAAGUGAUAACCUUGAUGGUUCCGACUCCACCGUCUCCCUCAAGGAUUUCGACACUUUUGAUGGCUUGAGGCAGGAUCUUGGGGAUGAGGUUGUCAGAGUCGAGGAUAAUGGACUUGAACAACUUUCCGGCCGGGAUUGAUGAAGUGAUCUCCAUAUCAUAAGUGAUGGCACCCAUGAUGAUUUCUCAAGAAUGGAAUAGUAUGAAAAAGGAUUGAUGAAAUUGUGAGAAAUGUGGGAAGUUGGAUUGCUAUUUAUAUUGGUAGAUAGAAAGUUCUCUUUCAUAUGAACUAUUGAGUAUUGACCAAAAUGGGAGGUCUUGAACGUGGUUGGGACACAAUGAAAUGAGAAGAUUAAUAAGGGUGUGGACGUGGCCUGAUUAUUACACAUCUACCAUUCCAUUAUAGACCAGCUUGCAGAGUUAUAUCUUGACAUUUAUAGUCUCUAUACGGUGUUUUUUUUUUUUUUUUUUUUUUUUUUUUUUUUUUUUUGGAAAGAAUGUGGGUCGAAUAAAACUUUAGUCUCACUAUACAAUCUAAAGUAACGAAAAUAAUGUAGAGGUACUAUUGUCCAUAUUCACAUUAAAUCACAUAUUCUACAGAAUCUACAACUUAUAAUCACUUGAAUUAUAAUUUAAACACCAACCAAACAUGCACAGAUGUAUAUAGUGAGUGAACGAUUAUGUCGUAGGGGUUUGAAUUCAAUAUAUAUAAGCCAUAAAUUUUUUCAAAUUAUCAUUGAAAUGAAGCCCAAACAGGGCUAAAUAAAAUUAUCAUUUUUAGUAUAAAUCGUCUGAUUUUCUUUGACAUGUAUGUAAUGGUCCAAUUAUUUUUCGAUCAUUUCAAAAGCCUCCCUCCAACGUAAAGGGGGUAUGGGUUUCAAUUGUAAGUUCAUUCAAGCCCUCAAACUUACUCAAUCUGUCUCUUUGAAUCGUUUCUUGAAAAUUCGCACAUUGAAAACGCUUUCCAGCUUAAAACCAUUCAACUCAAAGCUCUCAAAUUUAAUGAAAGAUGGCUUGGUGUCUGAAGCACAGAAACUGUUCUUUGGAAUGCCCCAAAGAAAUACAGUCACAUAUAAUGCUAUGAUAAGAGGAUAUUUUCAAAAUGGGUUUUUUGAACAAGCUAUGGAUUUGUAUAUUCAAAUGCCGGUUCGGGAUAUUUUCUCGUAUAAUACUAUGAUCUGUGGGUUAAUGCAAUAUGGGGAUGUUAAAGGGGCUGAAGAGAUUUUUGACUGUAUGGGGUGCACAGAUAUUGUCACUUGGAAUUCAAUGAUUUCUGGAUACAUUGAUAAUGAUUUGAUGGAUGAUGCAGUGAGAAUAUUUAAUGCGAUGCCUAUGAAAGAUGUUGUUUCGUGGAAUUUGGUUAUUGCAGGACUGGUGAAAGUUAAGGAGUUUGGUAAGGCUGAGCAAAUGUUUAGGGGGAUGAGCACGCGGGAUGUUGCAUCUGGUACUAUUAUGAUGAAGGGGUUUUUGGGAGAUGGUCGAAUUGAAGAAGCAAGGGAAUGUUUUGAUAAUAUGCCUAUAAAGGAUGUUCAAGCUUGGAAUACAAUGAUCAGUGGUUACGUGCAAACUGGACUUGUUGAGAUUGCGGAAGUCUUGUUUCAUAAGAUGCCUGAAAAAGAUGGGAACUCAUGGAAUGAAAUGAUGGAUGGGUUUGUAAGUGUUGGUAGGAUAAUUGAUGCCAUGAAGCUUUUCGAUGAAAUGCCUCAAAAAUGUGAAAGAUUAUGGAAUUUAAUAUUGUUGGGAUUGGUAAGGAACGGUUUGGUGAAAGAAGCUCAUGCCUUGCUAGAGAAAAACUCAUAUAGUAAUAUAGUGUCAUUGACGAAUGUGAUGAUUGAAUACUUUAAUAAUGGAAACGUUGACAGUGCCUUGAAAAUUUUUGAAUGGAUGCCUGUUCGUGACACAACUGUAUGGAAUGCCACUAUUUGGAUUGGGAGAAAAUGAUCGUAGCGAGGACAGUAUAAAAUUGUUCAUCAAAAUGAAAGAAGAUGGUAUGUUCCAGGAUGAAGCUACAUUUACAAGUUUACUUACCAUAUGUUCAAACCUUUCGUCCUUGAACCUUGGUAAAGAAAUUCAUGCAGAAGUAAUUAAGGUGGGGAUUAAUUGCUUUAUCCCUGUUAGUAAUGCAUUAGUGACCAUGUAUUUUAGAUGUGGAAAAAUGGACUCUGCAGUACUUGAAUUUUAUUCCAUGUCCGGCCAUGAUGUUAUUUCUUGGAAUUCUGUAAUUAGUGGAUUAGCUCACCAUGGGCAUGCUGAACAAGCUAUAGAGAUGUUUGAGAAAAUGAGAUUAUCAAAUGUGAAGCCUAAUCAAAUAACUUUUGUAGGUGUCCUUUCUGCAUGUGGCCAUGCCGGCCUUGUUGAACAUGGUAAAUAUUACUUUAAUAUUAUGCAAAAUGAGUAUUUUCUUCACUCAACAACUGAGCAUUAUACUUGUAUUGUUGAUCUGUUGGGUAGAUUUGGACUUAUAGAUGAGGCAAUGAAUAUUUUGGAUCAGAUGGGUGUAUUAGGACUAGAAGUUCCAGCAAGUGUUUGGGGAGCAUUGUUUGGAGCAUGUAGAAUGCAUGAUAACAUCACUAUAGGUGAGAUUGCUGGGAACAAGAUUCUGGAAUUAGAGCCUUCUAACUCUGGUGUGUAUAUGAUUCUAGCCGAAAUAUACCUGGCUAGUGGGAGGAAAGAUGAGGCAGAAAGGAUAUCGGUUCGCAUGAAAGAGAAUGGUGUUAAAAAGCAGCCUGGCUGUAGUUGGAUUGAGUCAAACGAUGGUGGCCAAGUAUUUCUUGCAGGGGACAAAACACAUCCUGAGUUUAAGUUCAUCUCCCAUGUUAUAGACUUGAUAUAUAUGGAGAUGGAGAUAGAACAUUUGAAAUCAGAUUUUGCUUCAUUCUCUGAAUCUAUAGAAGGCAUGUAGCUAAUAUUGAAGCAGCUGUUGCUUGAACAUUUGUCUGUGGAAAAUGAUCUAUUUUUUGGAAUAUUGAAGAAUGUGUAUUGAUGAGUAUCAGAAUCUCUAAAGAGAAGUCAUGGUCCAGCCAUCACGAGGAAGUGGAAGUGUAAUACAAAAGAAAACUAUUGAUUGCAGAAGGCAAUUGACCCCUCUUGGCCUAAUAUAAAUUGUGUGGCUAACAAAGGUAGUGGAAUGACAAUCUCAUGAUCAUAUUGUGGCUGACUACUAAAUUCAAAUAACAAUUUAAUCUCUUAGAUGGCCUAUUGUGUCCAGCCCCAUACAAGAUUCAGCAAAGGGACUGCUGAUCGCACAGGUAAGAUAUGUGUGUAUAAGUCAGAUGCUAUAACGGAUGAAUGAGUUUUCCAAACUGACUUCAUUUAUGAGGACAGGGAUGAAAAAUGAAGCCUCCUUUAUGGAUCUCUCCACCAUUAUGUCCCUGGAAAAUAACUUGAUUAACAUAAUGCUGGAACCUUGUAUGGCGAUGGUGAUUGCAUCAUUAGGCUGGAUCAUUCUUACGAGAACUGCGUAGAUGCUAGGCGGAAACAGACUUGAUGUUGGCCGUUCAUUCAAUUAUUCGGGGUGAAGGACCAUGGGGCGUUUAUCGAUGAACAGCGGAUUGACUGAGCUUUUGGCAUUGCUUUGUUUUUCUCUCCUUUCCUAUCAGCAAGUGCAGUCUUGAUUGAUAAUGGGAGUGGUUUGAAUGUUUGCACGUUGAGCAGUAUAUAGGAUAUUUUAAGACGCAUCAGAUACCACCUCUCUUUUGAUUGAUAUUCAGUAUCCCACAUCAACUGAGAAGGGAACCAGGUUGCUGGCUUACUUGCGUCUGAGGGUUUGCACCGUCGCUGUUAUCAGAAUAUGUUCCUCUCUUACUUCCUCACUGGAUACUUGCUCUUCUUUUGAUAUACAGACAUGGUCUUCCUAACUUUAGGGUCAUUAGAGACUUUUACGUGCUUCAUCUUUGUGUGGGAAGUAAAACUCUCCCAUUUAUUUCACCUCUUCAUAUGUCGCACUCUUUUAUGUUCGGAGGUCAGGUAUAUGUCCUUCGAUAUAUUAAAUAGUUGGGAAAUCCUAACCUCCAUUCUUGGUGGAACCUAAAAACUAAGUAAGGUUGUGUUGAUGCUUUGCUUUAUAAAAAUAAAGGGAUGCUAUUCAUGUGAUUAAUUUAGCAAUUUAAAUAAACACUUUCCCAGCUAUUAAAGCUGUAAAUUUGCAAAAAGAUUGAGUUCAGCUUGUUUUUCCGAUUUCACAAGUAAUUGUUUCGUAUUUUUCUCGCUGCUAUUCAUCGUGUUCCUAGUGGCUUUUGAUUUUAUGCAACAGUUUCAUUUUAUAUUUGUAAGCAGAGAAUUUGUGUACCAUUAAAACUUACCAAUCUAUUUUUUAAUAAAAAAAAAAUUCUACUCGUAUUUUCAUAGAAUUAUCUUUUUUCUUUAUUAUGGGGUAUGCUUGUGAUGUAUGAACUUGUUCAGUUUUGUUAAUCUCUGUUUCGAUACAUCAGAUAGAUAAAACCAAAUAUUGUGGCGUUAAGUGAUGAAAGUUCUUGGUCUUCUCCUCCCCAGAUUUUAAGGAUGAAUAAAGACUCAUUCGGUUUGGAUUGUUUGCAGUGAUGAUUUUACACUCGGGCAGAUUAAACAUUAUGGAUCCAUAAGAUGAAGCAAACCAUCACACAGUUAAAAUGAAGUAAAUCCUCUUCCAUUAAUUAUUUAAAUACGAAUUCAACCAAGAGUACUUUGAAGCUUUUCAGUACAACACUGAUCUUAUUCUGCAGAAAAUGCAAAUGCAGCAUUUCUAGGAAACAUAAAUCACUCAAUUGUAUAAUAUUUUAGGCAGUGUAAAUUUAAGCAACAUGUUUAAUUGUAGGCAUCGGGAUUUGCUUGGAGAUAAGCUUCUACAGUCUUGAAAAUUCCCAUGGCCUUCUCUUUACCUUCCUUGAUCUUCUCCUCGGAAAUCUGGGCAUCACCCUUGGUGUUGUAAAUGCUCCUGUUCUUGCAGAUAGAUCCUCCAUCAGCAGCCGGAACAAUUUUGACAUGGUAAUUGAUCGACUCCAGAACGUCCAUCAGAGCAUCCCCUUCAAUGAUGCUGUAGCUAUAUGUCAAAUUUUCUUUGUCAAUAUUUUCAACACGGUGCUUGACACUCUUGAACUGGCUUCCUUCGCCAAAAGUGAUAACCUUGAUGGUUCCGACUUCACCGUCUCCCUCAAGGAUUUCGACACUUUUGAUGGCUUGAGGCAGGAUCUUGGGGAUGAGGUUGUCAGAGUCGAGGAUAAUGGACUUGAACAACUUUCCGGCCGGGAUUGAUGAAGUGAUCUCCAUAUCAUAAGUGAUGGCACCCAUGAUGAUUUCUCAAGAAUGGAAUAGUAUGAAAAAGGAUUGAUGAAAUUGUGAGAAAUGUG